rfam:Eutrema salsugineum unplaced genomic scaffold scaffold_12, whole genome shotgun sequence.
GGGUGCGAUCAUAUCAGCACUAAUAAUGGAUCCCAUCAGAACACCGCAGUUAAGCGUGCUUGGGCGAGAGUAGUACUAGGAUGGGUGACCUCUUGGGAAGUCCUCGUGUUGCACCCC